UACGAAGGUGGCAAGCGUUGUUCGGAAUCACUGGGCUUAAAGAGCACGUAGGCGGCCCAUCAAGUACUUUGUGAAAUCCCCCGGCUCAACCGGGGAAUUGCUUGGUAUACUGUUCGGGCUUGAGGCAGGUAGGGGCGUGUGGAACUCUUGGUGGAGCGGUGGAAUGCGUAGAUAUCAAGAGGAACGCCGGAGGCGAAAGCGAUGCGCUGGGCCUGUCCUGACGCUGAGGUGCGAAAGCCAGGGGAGCAAACGGGAUUAGAUACCCCGGUAGUCCUGGCCCUAAACGAUGUCUACUAGGUCGGAGUCACUCUGACGUGUUUCUGGCCGAAACAAAAGCGUUAAGUAGACCGCCUGGGGAGUACGGUCGCAAGGCUAAA
rnacentral:rRNA from 1 species